AACGAACGCUGGCGGCAUGCCUAACACAUGCAAGUCGAACGAGACCUUCGGGUCUAGUGGCGCACGGGUGCGUAACGCGUGGGAACCUGCCCUUAGGUUCGGAAUAACUCCCCGAAAGGGGUGCUAAUACCGGAUAAUGUCUUCGGACCAAAGAUUUAUCGCCUUUGGAUGGGCCCGCGUUGGAUUAGCUAGUUGGCAGGGUAAAAGCCUACCAAGGCGACGAUCCAUAGCUGGUCUGAGAGGAUGAUCAGCCACACUGGGACUGAGACACGGCCCAGACUCCUACGGGAGGCAGCAGUGGGGAAUAUUGGACAAUGGGCGAAAGCCUGAUCCAGCAAUGCCGCGCGAGUAAUGAAGGCCUUAGGGUUGUAAAGCUCUUUUACCCGGGAUGAUAAUGACAGUACCGGGAGAAUAAGCUCCGGCUAACUCCGUG
rnacentral:rRNA from 1 species